AACAGUGUCACAUGUUCCUCGGAGGAGCAGGAAAUAGUUAAAAGCAAAGAAAUGCUGACGAGGCUCUGCUUUGUCUUGCAGAAAACCCCUGAGCCCUGUGCCAUGUCCAGCAGAGCCGGGGAGCAGGUACCCAGCCUGGCACUGAGCCCUUUUUGGGGAGCUGGUGGGCCUGGCACAGCAGGAUGUGAUGCCUCGAGCAGGUUCUCGCUGCAGGAGCUGGGCAGAGCCGUGGGAAAACUUCUCCCAGAGCUGGUGCUCUCAGAGAAUCGACUGGGGAUGUGUGGCUGAGCAAGGUGGCACCCCAGAGCAGGUGGUACCUCGUGGGCAAUGCUCACCCUCACCCCCCACAUCAACUGAGGUGCCAGGUGAAGGCUCUGCAUCCCCCGGUGAGGGGGAGCCCAGGAAGGGGAGGGUGAGCGAGACCCGGCCGUUUUCUCCACCUAAACCCCCGCGUUCCCACGGCUCAGCUCUGGAGCAAGAGCCUGUGAACAGCUCUGGCCUCUGGCACAGAGGCUGCUCCGGCUGCUCCGGCAGGAAGACGGCACUUCUCCCUCUCCCCUGGGCUUUCCCUCGAGGAGGGGCUUUGCCGGGGGUCAGGGCUCCAGAGCUCCGGGCUGUGCUGAGCUGGGAGGGCAGACAGGGACAGAGCCCAGCGCUCCAGGACAGUCUUGGGAAGCCAAAUACAGCAGAUGAUGGGUCAGUCCCACCACCCCUCGCCCUGUGCAGGGUCCAGGGGGCUGGACAUGUGCUGCCCUGCUCUUCCUCGUUCCCAGGUGCUGGAAGCCCUCUUGUCUGCUCUGCCCGGUCCCUUUGGCUCUGGUGGGGUGGGGGCCAAGCCCCCAGCGCCCCCCACCUCCCAUCCCUCGUCCUCUCCAUCACCCCAGUCUCCGGUGUGACUUGCCUGGAAGGAGCAGGGCGGCUGUCACCCCAGGGAUCCUCGGAGCCGGGGCCGGACAAAGCCAGAUCUCAGCCAGGUGCAGGAGCCCGUGCCAAAGGUACUCCAAACCCCCGACGUGUCGCUGCUGCUUA
rnacentral:lncRNA from 1 species